rnacentral:lncRNA from 1 species
GCGGAGACGACGGAGGUGGGGGCGGCGGUGAAUUGUAUUCAUAAACAGGUGUUGGUGGUGGAGGAGAAUUGUAUUGAACUGGGGGAGGUGGUGGUGAUGGUGAUGGCGGUGGCAGGUAAGGUGCAGGAUGGGGUGAUGGCGGCGGCGGCGAAUGCUCUUCACAAGGCGGUGGUGAUGGUGGAGGCGGCGGCGGUUCUAUACAGGGUGGAGGCGGUGGUGGUGGUUCUAUACAAGGUGGAGGAGAUGGUGGUGGUGGUGAAUGGACCGGCGGAGGUGGAGAGUGAACAGGAGGCGGUGGGGGCGGUGACAGAUAGGGAUAAACUGGCGGCGACGGUGAGGGUGGUGGCGGCGGUGGUGAGUGUGGUGGUGGCGGUGGAGGUGAGUGUUGUGGUGGCGGUGGUGGACUAUAGUAAUAUUGCACAGGUGGUGGUGGGGAGAAUACAGGACUUGGUGGAGGUGGGGGUGAUGGUGGAGGCGGUGAAGGUGGUGGCGGAGACUUCACACAAUAAACUGGUGCGGGUGGUGGCGGUGAAGGUGGCGGUGGUGAAUAGACUGGCGGUGGUGGGGAUGGCGGAGGUGGCGACGGUGGCGGGGGUGAAGGUGGGGGUGGGGGUGGAGAAUAGACUGGAGGUGGCGGUGAAGGCGGGGGUGGUGAAGGUGGUGGUGGAGGAGGAGAAUAGACCGGUGGAGGUGGUGGAGGUGGCGGUGGCGGCGGUGGAG